rnacentral:rRNA from 1 species
GACGAACGCUGGCGGCGUGCUUAACACAUGCAAGUCGAACGGUAAGGCCCUUCGGGGUACACGAGUGGCGAACGGGUGAGUAACACGUGGGUGAUCUGCCCUGCACUUCGGGAUAAGCCUGGGAAACUGGGUCUAAUACCGGCUAGGACUCCUGGCUUCAUGGUUGGGGGUGGAAAGCUUUUGCGGUGUGGGAUGGGCCCGCGGCCUAUCAGCUUGUUGGUGGGGUAAAGGCCUACCAAGGCGACGACGGGUAGCCGGCCUGGGAGGGUGACCGGUCACACUGGGACUGAGAUACGGCCCAGACUCCUACGGGAGGCAGCAGUGGGGAAUAUUGCACAAUGGGCGCAAGCCUGAUGCAGCGACGCCGCGUGAGGGAUGACGGCCUUCGGGUCGUAAACCUCUUUCAGCUAUGACGAAGCGCAAGUGACGGUAGUAGCAGAAGAAGGACCGGCCAACUACGUGCCAGCAGCCGCCGUAA